CGUGCAGGCGGGCCGAAAAGUCUGAUGUGAAAGCCCCGGGCUCAACCUGGGAAGUGCAUUGGAAACUGUUGGUCUUGAGUUCUGGAGAGGAAGGGGGAAUUCCCGGUGUAGAGGUGAAAUUCGUAGAGAUCGGGAGGAAUACCAGUGGCGAAGGCGCCCUUCUGGACGGCAACUGACGCUGAGACGCGAAAGCGUGGGGAGCAAACAGGAUUAGAUACCCUGGUAGUCCACGCUGUAAACGAUGAGCACUAGGUGUAGCGGGUACUCAUUCCUGCUGUGCCGCAGCUAACGCGUUAAGUGCUCCGCCUGGGGAUUACGGUCGCAAGACUAAA
rnacentral:rRNA from 1 species